rnacentral:rRNA from 1 species
AUGCAAGUAUCACUGCAUCAGUGCGCUAGUGAGUUGUUCCAGUGCUUUGAUCUUAGUUUUCUUGGAGACCAACCAAGAGCAAUGGCGGCUGGUGGCUGUGACGUCAAUGCGAGCUACGAUAUCAAGCAUCUGCUCAAGAGUGACGCCCUGUACAAGUACAUCCUGGAUACCACGGUGUUCCCCCGAGAGCCGGAGUGCAUGCGCGACCUACGCCUCCUCACCGACAAGCACCAAAGGGGCAUCAUGCAGUCAACUCCGGAAGAGGCCCAGCUGCUGCAGCUGCUGAUCAAGAUAGCGGGGGCCAGGAACACGAUCGAGGUCGGCGUGUUCACGGGCUACUCGCUCCUCGCCACCGCGCUGGCGCUGCCGAAGGACGCCAAGGUGGUGGCCAUAGACGUCAACCGGAAAGACUUCGAGCUCGGCCUGCCCUUCAUCCAGAAGGCCGGCGUGGCGCACAAGGUGGACUUCCGCGAGGGCAAGGCGCUCGACCGCCUCGAGGAGCUCCUCGCCGCCGCGGAAGCCGACGCUGCGGCGCAGUAUGACUUCGCGUUUGUGGACGCCGACAAGCAGAACUACGGGCGGUACCACGAACAGCUGAUGCGGCUGGUCCGCGUCGGCGGCACCAUCGUCUAG